AGCAGUCGCCACGGGAAUACGUAGGGUGCAAGCGUUGUCCGGAAUUAUUGGGCGUAAAGGGCUCGCAGGCGGUUUCUUAAGUCUGAUGUGAAAGCCCCCGGCUCAACCGGGGAGGGUCAUUGGAAACUGGGAAACUUGAGUGCAGAAGAGGAGAGUGGAAUUCCACGUGUAGCGGUGAAAUGCGUAGAGAUGUGGAGGAACACCAGUGGCGAAGGCGACUCUCUGGUCUGUAACUGACGCUGAGGAGCGAAAGCGUGGGGAGCGAACAGGAUUAGAUACCCCCGUAGUCCCUGUCUCUUAUAC
rnacentral:rRNA from 1 species